ACCACAUUCAGCCAUAGGUACCCACAUAAAUAACACAAAACACACAAUAUCAAUAGACAAUACAAAAAUUCUACACAAAACCAACAAUUACAAAAAAUUAACAAUACUAGAACACUAUGAAAUUCACAAAGCGUUACAAGAUCCUAAUUUCAAAUUAAUAAAUGACAUAACUGAAUUCAAUGAUAAUCAUCUUUAUAAAUACGUUGCCCAUUCACAUAACACGCCACUGCCUCAUACAUAACCUCACAUACUGAUACACACACACACUGCACUUAAAACAUCGCUCACACAUACAUCAUUCAAUUCAAUUUUAUAUAAAAAUAUGGACAUUACAUCAUACAUUUCCAUCUUGUUACAAAAUGUAAUUCAGUAGACGGUAAGAUAGAUUUUGAAAAAA